GGGGGGGGGGGGGGGGGGGGGGGGGGGGGGGGGGGGGGGGGGGGGGGGGGGGGGGGGGGGGGGGGGGGGGGGGGGGGGGGGGGGGGGGGGGGGGGGGGGGGGGGGGGGGGCGGCGCCGCCGCCGCCGCUUCGUGCCCGUCGCGCGAGAUUGACGCAAGCGCGCGGGAAGGGGAAGCGCCGGCGCGCGGUGAUGGCGUCACAGCGGGGGCGGGACGGGCGGAAGGGCCUGAAAGGAGCGGGAGCGGCGGGUGAGGGAAGGAUGCAGCUACACUCCGGCUGGGGAAAUAAAUGGCCUGCGAACCCUGCUCUGCAUAAUAAUAGUAACAGCAGCUGACAGAGCUUGACAGCGCAGCAGGCUGCAGCCUCCUCACGGGAAUUGCGGGCUCCCCCCGCCUCAGGUACAGCAUGCUGUUGUCUCCAGACUCAAGGGCAGGCUCUGCAGCACCAGCAGUUCCCACAUGGAGUUUCUGCAGUUCUGCUCACCGUGACCUUCUGGGCCACCAGGAAAACACAAUGAGGUGCUGCCGGCCUGGUGCGAUGAGCCGUCACUGCCCAGGACUCGCACCAGGCUUCCUGGGACACUGAGCUGCCGCUUGGGAUCCCGACCGCCUCUGAUUCCUCACUGUGCUGCUGGCAGGGUGGGACUGACGUGCAGUUUGGGGCACUGGGCAGAGCCAAGCCCGUCACCAUCCUCUGUGCCCUUGGCAGACUGGGGGACCAAGCUGGACCCUUCUCUCUAAAGGGGCUCCACGUGAGCAAGGGACCGGCUUGGGGCUGUCCAUAUUCACUCUGGUGGGAAGAGCCACCUCCUUCACCCUUUCCACCUGGGAACUGCGUCACUGCUGGGGAUGGUACCCCAUGGGUGCAGGGUGAGGCCAGCAGCCUGGCAGCAAGGCACUAGCUGAGCCUGAGCACAUCGCAGGGCAGAGCAGCCCCAGCACGGCCGCGCUGCAGGGAUGUAGGGGCCGGGCGCAGGAGGGUCCCGGCAGCGAUGGGCCGGCUGGACGACCAUGCCAAGAGGAGGAUCGUGGAGCUGCGCAGGGCUGGGCUGAGCUUCCGCAAGAUCAAGAAGGUGCUGGAGCUGGAUGACAUCCGGGUGACGCCACAGGCCGUGUACCUCUUCCUCAAGAGGAAGAGCGUGGAGCCAGGGUCAGUGGCAGCUGGCUGGGAUGGGGAGCAGCCCUGGCCUCCACUGCAGGGGCACGAGGCUGAGCCCCCCAGGCUGCUGGGCACCCGGCACCCUGCCCUGCCCACCGGGGAUCCUGUGGGCAGCCAGGCACCCCGCUCUGCUGGCAGCCAGGACACCAAGGAGAGCAUCCGCAUUGUUGGCGUGGCCUCACUCUGCGAGGACAGUGGGCGGCCUGGGGACACUCUGCCUGUGGGGCUGGCCCCUGGGAAUGGUGAUGAUAGCUCCACAGGCACAGCCCUGGCUCCAGGGACUGCUCUGGGGAGCCUGGCCCCCCUGCCCCAGCCACUGCCCAGCCGAGGGCAGCUGAUCACACCCCCCACCCAGAACUCAGCCCUGAUGGUGAAAAAGAAGAUUGUGGACAGAGCUAUCCUCUUGCAGAAAAAGGUCAAAGAUGUCAGCACUCAGACUGUCUUGCCAAAUCCCAUGGGUCCAGGAAAUAACAGCCUUGCUUGGGGAGGAGCAGUGCCCACCCCUGCUCCCAGCUCUCCAGCCAUGGCUGAGAAGCUGGACGCUGUGCAGAUGGAGGUGCAGAAGCUGAGGCAGGCCCUGCAGGCGGUGCUGGAGCGGCAGUGCCACCUGGAGCGCCAGCAGGAGCAGCAGCAGCGGCUGCAGCAGGAGGUGCUGAUGACGCUGCAGCAGCUCAGCUCCACCGUGAGCCACGGCGCCGUGCCAGCCACCCAGCCCUGCGGCCCCUUCGGCAGCAUGGGCGAGCCCUCACCCACCAUGCCAAACUUCAGCCAGUUCAAGAUGGAGCUGAUCUGAGCUCCUGCCAGGCCUGUGUGUGCCAGCAGUGUCGUGCUAAUGGCAGGAUGGAACCGGGAGGAAGAACCGUCUCUCAGAGGCUGCCCAAGGAUUGCAUGCAGCACCGAGCAGAUAAGGUGCCUAGUGCUCCGUCUUCCCAGCCAUGCUGCCUGGAAGGGGCUGUCUGGCACAGGAGGCUGGACAGUGGAAGCCUGAGGACUUGCUCCUCCUGUGCUGCUCAUCCUGGCUGGCACUGGAGCUGGCUGGGACCCAUGGACCUCAGCGGAAGACAGCUGCCUGCAAGGAAAAGAUGCAGCUGAGACAGACACAGCAGGAAUGUGGAACCUCAAGGAUACAGGUGGCUUCCUUCUCAUGAGGGUCAAUGCCAUGAUGAUCAAUCUUGCCCUCCCCUCCACAGAACCUUGUUCAGUAAAAAUCUGUCUAUGCCAAGGUUCAGAAUGAGUGUGGGAUUAGGAUCUGCAUUUUCCCUACCCCUCGCUUGGCCAGUGAGCAGGCAGGAUCUCUCUGGGGUUACUGUCACCAUACAUGGAACAGCACAGGGUGCAGAAACCCAUGAGGUGAAACCAGUGCUCCACACAUGCUGUUGUUGGAACCUCCGAUCAGCUGCUGCGCCGUUCGGGAUAGAUAAGACUGUGUAGGAAACAAUCUUUUACUGAGCAGAUUGCACCCUCCUCACCCCACAAACUCAGCAGAUCUGGAGUCUGGUACUGCUGCUCCCCACUGUCUGGCAAAAUAUGGGCAGGACCACACCAAUAAAAGUUGCACCCGGGCAGGAGCUGAUUAACUGGGUGUUCAGCUCUCCUCUAACCCAUUUUCCUGGGCAGGACACCUUCCUUCAUACACUACCUUCACCCCCCACCAAUUUGGUUUGUGAUCCCCAGUUGCAAGGGUUGUCCCUAGAGCAGGCUGCUAGUGGCACAGAGCUGCUGUAGCAGAGCAGGGCAUGAUGCUAAGAACCCCCUUGCCUGGAUGAGAAGGGCACAGGGGAGGCUGAUGUGUCCUCACUGAGCAAGAGUCCAGAAGGACCAGAGACUGGCCUUGCCUGCCAGGAGGAAAGGUCUGAUGCGAGUGGCCUUGGCUCAGCACCCAGCAGGGAGUCCUGAGAGGAGGCAGAGCACGUGUCCUUCCUCUGCACCAGCCAAGGCAGCUUCUGUCUGCACAGGCAGCAUGCUUGGCACAGCCUGUGCCUCUGUGAAGUCCCCAGCCUGUUUCUGAGGUCUCCUUGAGUCCGAGGUCAAAAUUAAGAAAGGUAAAAACCAGUUCAGGUGUUUGUACACACACACAUAGCCAAAAUUUAACACAAAUCAAAUGCAAGAGAGUCUUCAGGCUGUGACAGUUGAUUUUACCACCAUCCAAGGCUGGCAUGCAGCUAAUUUUCCCUCUGAGGCACUGUGGUUGUAACUGAGCUACUUUUAAAGUAAACUUUAUUUAAGAGUUGAGUGUACAUCCUUCCUAGCUGUCCACAACCUGGCUUCAGCAACAAAAAUUUUCCUUGUUUUCCUGGGAACAACUGUCCUUACAUUCCUAGGCUGGAUUAAACCAUGAUGUGCAGCUUUAUUCUAGGUCUGUACCUGUCAGUGAAAGAGCCGAAUGAGCAAAAAUGGUUCUCACUCACUUUCCCCCAAAGACCCUAAGCUCGUGCUCCUCCCAUGUCAAGGCUGACACACUGCUGGUGUUUGCUAGAUGCCAGAAGCUGCAUUCACAUAGACUCAGGAAGUGGAAGCACCCAGCCAUCCACUGCUGGAUCUCGAUUCCAAACCACUGCCUGCUGUAUGCAUUGCUGCCUCAGCUGCUAGAAAGGCUCUGCUCUAUUUAAAAGCAACAGAAGAAAGGGAAAAUCUCAUGGUAUAAAAGACAUAUUCUACAGUUAAUGUCAAUUCUACAGGAAAGAAAGCAGACCCUUCCAUACUGCUGACCCUUUCAAAGGUGCCUCUCUCCAGUGUUAGCACAGAGAAGCACUUAUGCAGGCUGAGUUUUGGGGUCAUAUGCACAGAAGGCAGAUCUGGUUUAAAUUUCUAGAUAAGGCACCCUAGAAGAGGACCAGAGAUUCACGCAUGACAUUUCCUACUGCACAGCAUAUUUCCACUGUUCUUCAGUUUACAGGAGAUCUGGCACAA
rnacentral:lncRNA from 1 species